CAGAUGAUCAUUCCCUAGCCAGAGGUCGAGGCAAGGGAACAGUUUACCAGAACAUGCACGAUGUGCAAGUGAAGCAGAUCGUGAUAGCGGCAGGCGAGACCACAGAGAAGGUGUGCAUGGUGACACCCCGUACUCGCCGCUUAAGGGGUCGCGCUCCAAGGAAGCUGUAGUUACUCCUCGCAUGGGUAACUUAGUCGAAUAGCUUGAAGAGU
rnacentral:lncRNA from 1 species